ensembl:lncRNA
CGGGUGUGGCCGGGGCGGGGAGACAAGGAGGAAGAACUUGGAAAGAUGUCUGUGUUCUGCACUGUGAGAGCUGAGUCCACAGAUUGUUUGAAGGAAAAUACUUGCAGACAACAAGCAUAAAAGGAAGAAUAGCAUGUCUGUUCUGAAGUGGAAAGGGAACGCAAGGAUGUUGAAAUCUUACAAAUUUAGAAGGCCAUACUCCACCACUGAAUGCUGGAAGAGUUUGAGACUGCUAGAAGAUUUAUUUUACUGAGAGAAAGAUACUGCAGGCUGGAGGAAUCCACAGAGUCUUUAAACAAGUGUGAAUUCCUGCUCCUGCCCAAGCUGCUGACUGUGUGACAUGAUGCAUAUGUGACCCAUCCAGGCCUUGUUGACAUAGAAAGUUAAAUUGCAAGCUGUGAGUAUUUCUUUCUACUCUUCAGUGAGAUGAUUUAAAGAAUUUUACAUGGGUUAGCAGCUGAAGCAAUAUUUAAUUUAUAAAAGAUGUCAUGGAUGCUAUUUUUCUGUAAGCAGCUUAAUUAGUUGUAUGAAAUGAUUCUUUGUCACAAAAAAUAAAAAUAAAAUAAAAAAAAACAGCUAUGAUUAGAGGACAAGUUUUUUUUGUUGUUUUUUUUUUCCCCAGAUUAUAAAAGCAUAUUUCAGUACACUGUAUGCCUGCUGUUAGAAUUUGUUAUGUUUGGUUACAACUAGUAAAUAUUAGUAGACAUGAACUUUCUGACUGGUUUUGCCAUCCAUUGUUGCUGAGCUCCUUCUCCUUCUGAGCACAUCAUUACUAACUUUAGUCCAUCUCAUCUUCUCCCUGCCUCCAAAUGACAGAGAACAGGGCUGCCCUUUUACCCCCAGUAAUACACAUUCAAUACAUGGUAGUUUAUGAAGCAAAAUUGACCAAAACUAUUAAUAAAAGUUGG